UUUGAAACAUCACUUUCAACUUGCGUAAAAAUUUACUAAAAUUUCAAUAACUAGUACACAUGAAUCAUAACUUCAAAUAUAUAAAGGAUUCAUCCCUAAUUAUCUUAAAAGAUUAAACCUUUGAGUUUAAAUUCUGGAUUCGCCUCCUAAUGUGUUUGACUGUUAUCGUUGUUGCAACUGAAUCUCAAAAUAUUACUUCUACUAGUUUUCAACCCCCCACCCCACCCCAUUCCCACGAAAAAGGGGUCUUUUUCAUUUUCUGUUUCUGAAAAACAUUGAUAAAUUAACUUUGUGGUGAUAUGCAGCUCUUCUCUACUUGCCUGCAGAUUCACCAGAUGCUCAAAUAUUCUAUAAUGGUUCAAGCGGCAUCGCUGGCAGUCCGCUUGCAAAUAGUCCCAUUCCUUCAGUUGGAUCUAGUCCCACGGCUGGCGCUGCAGGUGUAGCAAGUGCUCCAAAAUCUGCAGGCUGUCAUAUUGGAAAGAGAUGGUUUGGAUUAGAUGCAAUUGUUGGAGUUCUCCUUCUUUGGUCUUUUAACUUCAAAUUUCUUCAUAUGAAUCUAAAGCUUAUUUGUAUCAUUAUAAUUAAGUUACCAUUUUGUUAAAUGGAUGAUACUUGUAUUCAUGCUUUACUUGAGAUAGUCCUUCUAACUUGAUAGUAUUCACUAUAAUAUUUUCUCUAGUGAUAUAUUGAAAGCAUAUCUUUUUGUCA